rnacentral:rRNA from 1 species
UACAGAGGUCUCGAGCGUUAUGCGGAAUCACUGGGCUUAAAGCGUGUGUAGGCGGAUCGGUAAGUACCUUGUGAAAUCCCACAGCUUAACUGUGGAACUGCUUGGUAUACUGCCAGUCUUGAGCCAGCUAGGGGCUACCGGAACAAAUGGUGGAGCGGUGAAAUGCGUAGAUAUCAUUUGGAACGCCAAUGGUGAAAACAGGUAGCUGGGGCUGUGCUGACGCUGAGACACGAAAGCCAGGGGAGCAAACGGG